GGGAACUGGGGUCAGUGGCUGCUUUGUGAAGAAGAAAGAGUCAGUGCCCUGAGUAGCUGCCCGCAAGAAACACCAAGAAAGACAGUUUCUUGCCUCAAAAAUCUGUUCUUCAAGCCAGAACAGGGUGGUGGACCAGAAGUAUUCCUCAGGAAUAGAAGAAUUUACUCCAGGGAUGUUUUUAGAAGAAAUCAAGGUUUGGUGACAAGACUGCUGCAAUCCAGACAUGAGGAUUAAUCAUUUUUGCUGGGUUUUUUUCUUACCAAGAAAGAAUGGGAGAUGGAGAACAGAAAGACAAUGAUUCUGGAUUAUGAAGAUCUACUGCAGUCCCUUGAGAUAAGCUUUAUACUGGAUGUGAAUCAACCUCAGAAGAAAUCUGCAUGGCUAUGAUCUGCCUACAGUUUAUCUAAAAUGUCAUUGGAGGAUCCAGAAGUGCUCCCCUUCUCAGACACAGCACGGUUAUAUAUCAUACAUAUAUUGUUCCCCUGCUCAAGAAGCUUUUUUUGGGGGGCUAGGCUAAACUGUGCUGGGAUCUGUUACAGGACACAGAGAUUCUUUUUCUGUUCCCAGUGCCAGGUGCAUUUGUUCACUUGUCUGUCUAUAAUAUGAAGUAAUAGAAAUGUGCACCUAAAAACAGUAACGAACUCCUGCCAGUGAUAACCACACCCCUGAAUACAUUUCUCAGCCUAGAUAGUAGCAGUGAGAAUAAACUUUUAGUCAUGGUAUUUAAGGCAGUGCUGGCAAGUUCUAUAAAGCAGAACAUGAUUUAUUCCUUUUUUUCUACACCACCCAGCUCAGGAAGCACUACUCUGACAAGUGGAUCUAAUCCAUGCUAUGCAUACUUGUUGUCUAAACUGAGAAAGAUGACAUUAUAGCUUCCUGAAGAUUCUGAUUUUAAUGUGUUAAGAGAUAUAUAAUUUUUGAACUUGAUAUAAACUAGUGCAUUUUUGCCCCAUCAAUAAUAUACCAUGUAUAAAUUAGUGUCUGAAUUAAUGUUCUGUGGCUUUAGUGAAAAAAAUAGCAAAGGCUUUAUUACAUAAUAAAAUGCCCUUAAUUGUUGGACUACAGCAGCUUUAUAACAUACCAUUAUUUUUGGACACAACCUCUGCCUUUUUAUUGAUCUCAAAAUGUUAUCAGUCAGAGCCAGAUUGAAAGUAAAACUGAAGAAUAACAUUACAGGGGCGAUGCUAUUGAGUGAAAUAAAUUAAUGCUGGCCUGGCUUUGAAUUCAGAA